CAGAUAAGUAGUUUAAAAAAAAUCUUGGCAUUGGAAGCCAAAGACUGGGUUGACCCCACUUUCUGA
rnacentral:tRNA from 1 species